CUCUUGUAACUGCGUUUAGCUGGUAAGGCACCCAAGGCUGCCUGUGACAGGGGAGCCUUUCUGGAGAGGCUGGAUUUGUUCCCACGGAAAUAGCGGAGGUACCAGGAGAGCAGAGUGGAAGCUGUAAGACCUCUUGAGACCCAGGUGUGGAAUAAACACAACGUUUCUUCUGCCACAUUCUUUCGGUUCAUCAACUCAUAAGCCCAGCCCAGAUUUAAGGGGCAUAAAAUACAUUCCGUUUCUUGAUGGAGGAGCUGAAAGAAUUGGUGCAAUAUUUGCCGUCUACCAGGCAAGAGGCGGAAUAAGAAAGUCACACAACCCUCUAGGUGGGCCAAGGAGGAUAAUGGAAAAAGAACCACCCCCCAGAAGGCAUUGCCUAGAGACUCGAAGAGCAAAGACAAGGUUGCUUCUUUCCAAGAACAGAAUCAAGACUUAAAGACUUCUCUGUAUACAGAGAAUGGAAGACCUUAAGAAUGUCUGCCCAGAGGAUUUCAGAUUUGCUACAAACCUGUGGCUGGGGACAUGGGUUUGAUCCCAGAUGGGGAACUAAGAUCCCACAUGCCACAGGGCAACUAAGCCCGCGCCACAACUACUGAGCUCGUGUAUCUCAAUGAGAGAGCCCGCGUCCUGCAAACUACAGAGCCCAUGUAUUCUGGAGCCCAUGCACCACAACUAGAGAGAGAAAACCCACAUGCCACAACUAGAGAGAAGCCUGCAUGCCCCAACAAAGGAUCCCACAUGCAGCAACAAAGAUCCUGUGUGCUGCAACUA